rnacentral:pre_miRNA from 1 species
AGUGGGACAGUUGGGUCGAAUGGUGGUUCUAUUUCAAGUUUUCUGAGGAAUCUCCAUACUGCUUCCCAGAGUGGUUGCACCAGUUUGCAGUCCCACCAGCAAU